AAUGCACGGAGCCUAUAUAACAAAAUGGGGGAACUAGAGGCAAUAGCAUACACUAAACAAAAUGAUAUAAUAGGUAUAACAGAAACAUGGUGGGAUGAGACACAUGACUGGGCAGUUAACUUAAAUGGGUACAUGUUAUUUAGGAAGGAUAGGAAAAACAAGAAGGGUGGUGGGGUAUGUUUGUAUGUCAACCAUGAGUUAAAGUCAAAUCUUAGGCAUGUGGAGUGUGACAAGGAAAAUGUGGAAGCUUUAAGGGUAGAUAUCUGCUUGGGGCAAAC
rnacentral:lncRNA from 1 species